ACAUUUGUUGCUUUAUUAUCUUUCUAAUCCUCCUUCAAACCUGCAUUACAGGAAGGAGUGUCACUGCAUGCUUUUUCUGACCCCUGAUAAUGAUUUUGCUGGAGAAGAACAGACAAUUACUAUGGAGGAGAUUAAGGAAACAACAGCAAACAUGUGAUGCUCCAACAUCUUAUACUUGCUAUGAACGUUACGUUUUUUGUUGUACAUGUAUAUGUGAUUAGUAGAUGAAGAGCACAUAUCAAAGUUCUGAUGUGACAUGUUGCUGAAACCCCAUCCAGUAUAUUGUCGAGGAUUCUGAUCUUGUCAAAUGAGCUUGGAUGGGUGAAUGCUAGUGCAAUUUAUGCUAACUGUCGUGUGAUGCAUCUUGAUUGUAUGAGUUGUAAUAGGGAAUUCUGGGUAGCUUCAGCUAAUGCAUUUUCCUAAUUUCCAAAUGCUGCUUAGUGAAGUUUUAUGCCUGGUGCGUUAUGUGUUAAUAAUGAAAUGGAGAUAUCACUCACCUUCCGAAUGUAAGCCCGUUUAUAUGCAA